AACGAACGCUGGCGGCAUGCCUAACACAUGCAAGUCGAACGAGACCUUCGGGUCUAGUGGCGCACGGGUGCGUAACGCGUGGGAACCUGCCCUUAGGUUCGGAAUAACUCCCCGAAAGGGGUGCUAAUACCGGAUAAUGUCUUCGGACCAAAGAUUUAUCGCCUUUGGAUGGGCCCGCGUUGGAUUAGCUAGUUGGUAGGGUAAAAGCCUACCAAGGCGACGAUCCAUAGCUGGUCUGAGAGGAUGAUCAGCCACACUGGGACUGAGACACGGCCCAGACUCCUGCGGGAGGCAGCAGUGGGGAAUAUUGGACAAUGGGCGAAAGGCUGAUCCAGCAAUGCCGCGUGAGUGAUGAAGGCCUUAGGGUUGUAAAGCUCUUUUACCCGGGAUGAUAAUGACAGUACCGGGAGAAUAAGCUCCGGCUAACUCCGUG
rnacentral:rRNA from 1 species